rnacentral:rRNA from 1 species
AGCACCGAAUCCCGCGGCCGAUAUCGGGCGCCGGGAAAUGUGGUGUUAGGGAGGAUCCGUCUAUCCCGAGGUCGUGCGGUGCGUCCAAGUCCUUCUUGAACGGGGCCACAGCCCAUAGAGGGUGCCAGGCCCGUAGUGACCGCUGCCGAUCGCGGGAGGAUCUCUCCUCAGAGUCGGGUUGCUUGAGAGUGCAGCCCUAAGUGGGUGGUAAACUCCAUCUAAGGCUAAAUAUGACCACGAGACCGAUAGCGAACAAGUACCGUGAGGGAAAGUUGAAAAGCACUUUGAAGAGAGAGUUCAAGAGUACGUGAAACCGUUCAGGGGUAAACCUGAGAAACCCGAAAGGUCGAAAGGGGAAAUUCAUUCGCGUCUCGGCCGUCGGCGUCGAACGUGUCGAGUGACGGAUGGCGUACGCGUCGUCCGCGCCUUCCGUUCUUCGAACCGGCGUCGAACGCGUGCACUUUUCCCCUAGUAGGACGUCGCGAUCCGUUGGGUGUCGGUCUAAGGUCCGCGGUGGAGCCCGAGCGGUCGCCUUGCGGCGUACUACCGCUCGGACCCGCGGUGUUUUCCCGGCCGACUCGCUCGACGGUAUACAGAUGGCGCGGGGCCGCUACACGAACACACACAGUUAGCGUUCGGCCCGCGGCAAGCGCGUUCGGCGUUUGACGGCGAUCGGACCUCGUGCCGGUCCUGUCCCCGAACGACUGUUGGCCGCGCGUGUUUGUGUUCUCGAACAGACCUCGUCUGAAACGCCGAUCUGCGACGCUAUAGCUUUGGGUACUUUCAGGACCCGUCUUGAAACACGGACCAAGGAGUCUAGCAUGUGCGCGAGUCAUUGGGACAUAACUAAACCUAAAGGCGCAAUGAAAGUGAAGGUCCGCCUCGCGCGGACCUAGGGAGGAUGAGCGGUUUCAAUUUUUUGGAAGCCCUUUAAGUGGCCGCUCCGCACUCCCGGGGCGUCUCGUUCUCAUCGCGAGAAGAGGCGCACCAAGAGCGUACACGCUGGGACCCGAAAGAUGGUGAACUAUGCCUGGUCAGGACGAAGUCAGGGGAAACCCUGAUGGAGGUCC